GAGUCAUCGCAGCAACUACCAUUAGAGAUUGUGCUUGAUAAAGCUCACUAACUAGAUCUUCUUUGUAGCAAAGCCAGCCAACCCACCAUGCUCAGUCUUUCCAGACCUCUCAACCACCCCAGCCCACUCCUAAACCAUCAUUUAGGAUGUACACUAGCUUUAAUAUAGAUUUUCUUAUGCAUGCACUUGGACCCUUUAGUAG
rnacentral:lncRNA from 1 species